UGGGGAAUAUUGCACAAUGGGCGCAAGCCUGAUGCAGCCAUGCCGCGUGUAUGAAGAAGGCCUUCGGGUUGUAAAGUACCUUCAGCGAGGAGAAAGGCAUUAAGGUUAAUAACCUUAGUGAUUGACGUUACUCGCAGAAGAAGCACCGGCUAACUCCGUGCCAGCAGCCGCGGUAAUACGGAGGGUGCAAGCGUUAAUCGGAAUUACUGGGCGUAAAGCGCACGCAGGCGGUCUGUCAAGCCGGAUGUGAAAUCCCCGGCUCAA
rnacentral:rRNA from 1 species